AUUUGUUUUCGUGAUAUUGUCACGUGUCUUUUCUUUUGAAUUUUGUUAACUGUGAUAUUGGUAAUUCGCUAAAGUAUUAUUUCAUAUAAAAUAUCUGUAAUUGUAUUGUCAAGAGUGAGUAUUUUCUAAGUUCUCUAGCCAGUUCUACCUUCUGCCGUGCUUCUACCCUAGAUGAAAUGCAAUAAAAUGUGAAUGACACCGUUGUCACGAAUUCUCUUAAAUAUCACGUGACUCUGCCCGUGACGUCACGGAUGGCAGUUCAGCCGGGUCGGGGUAGAGGGCAGCGUAGUUGAACGACGCAAUGUGACCAAUCACAAACGUGUGAGCAACCCUGCUACAUAGCUUUGUUAUUCUCUUUACCAUUAAUCAUGAUUUUAGGCUAUCUAGCUUCGAUGGAUUUACAAGAAGUUAUAAACAAAUAUCACCCGAGGCAAUCAAUAAAGAGGUGUAGACUUCAAAGAUUAAUGUCACCGGGCAACAAUAUGCGUGUUUUAUCAAUAAAAAAUACGCCUGAUGCGAAACUAUCGAAAAUCAGAAGAACUAUUCGCAUGAAAAAAAUACUUGGCGAUUCAAGUAAAAAGAACGUACAAUCGGAAUACGCGAUUGGUUUAUCAAGCCGGAAAAAUACACUGGACCAAAAAACUUUUGAGAAUAUAAGUAAAUUUAGUAUUCUGUUUUUGUACCUUCACUUUCUGUUUUGUUACUAUCUUUCCUUUUCGAAAACUGGUCAAUUUAUAGAAUUUUUUGAAACGUGUCCUGCGUAGAAUUAUGAAGAAUAAUGUAAAAAAGAAAUAUAUUAUUAAUAAACUAAAUUAUAAAAUACA